rnacentral:rRNA from 1 species
AUGUUGGAGGACAUAGGGAAGCUUGGAUCGGUUGACAAAAUAAUUACCCAAGCAAGACAAGUAACGGUGUUCUUGUAUGCUCACACAAGGGUGUUAUCUCUGAUGAGGAAAACACUUGGGAAAGACUUGGUAUGGUCAGGUAUUACUAGGUUUGCCACGGCUUAUCUCAAUCUUAAAAGCUUGCAAGACAACAAGAAGGAAAUGCUUAAACUAUUCAGAUUGGAUGAGCUACAUGAAAUGGGUUACUUAGAGAAGGACAAGGGGAAGAUGGCUCACAAAACGGUGCAAUCGGAAGCCUUCUGGAAAGGUGUUGGUGUUGCUGUCAACUACUUUGAGCCAAUGGCUAAUGUGCUAAGAAGAAUGGAUAGUGAUGUGCCCGCAAUGGGAUUCUUAUAUGGUUGUAUGUUGGAUGCAAAAAAGGAAAUUGCUGCAAGUUUUGAUAAUGGCGAGAGUCGCUUCAAAUGUGUUAUUGAUAUCAUUGACAAGAGAUGGGACAGCAAACUCAAGUCGCCAUUACAUUUGGCUGGGUACUUUCUGAACCCCUACUAUUAUUAUCCAAACAAGGUUGUGAUAGAGAGGGAUGGAUCAUUUAGAGCAGCCGUGGUCCAUUGCAUCACAAGGAUGAUUGAAGCUCAAAAAACUCAAGAUGAGCUUAUUGAUGAACUCGACAAAUACGAGGCGGAGGAAGAUUCCUUUGGAAUGGACAUUGUUGUACGACAGAGAAAAAGGAAAAACUUUUCUCCAGCAAAAUGGUGGCUGAAUUAUGGCACAUGUGCACCCCUGUUGAAGGACUUGGCAAUGAAGAUUUUGAGUUUGACAUGUAGCUCCUCAGCUUGUGAGAGAAAUUGGUCAGCAUUUGAACAAGUUCAUACAAAGAAACGCAGCAGGCUACUCCAUGAUAGGAUGAGUGAUCUUGUAUUUAUCAAGUUCAACUCUAGGAUGAAGCAUAAGAGAGAGAACAAGAGUAGAGACCCAAUAGAGAAGACGAUCGUUGAUGUUCUUGAGGACGAGGAUAAUGAGUUCAUCACCGGCAUUGUUGGAAAUGAUAAUGUUGUUGAACAUGUUGGUGAUGAAGAUCAAACUCAACAAGAGAGAGCUUCAACAUCACAAGAACAAGGGAAAAAGAAGAAGAGGCCUACUGCGCCCCCUAGAAAGAAGAGGAAAAAGAGCUUGCAAUCUCUCCUUAAUAGUGUCGAUGAGGAAGCUAUACUUUCUGCCUCUUCCAAUUCUUCUUCGUCGGAAUCAGAAGUUUUUAUUGAUUUAUACUGA